rnacentral:rRNA from 1 species
CGUAGGUGCGAGCGUUGUCCGGAUUUAUUGGGCGUAAAGAGCUCGUAGGUGGUUUGUUGCGUCGGAAGUGAAAACCUGCAGCUUAACUGUGGGCUUGCUUUCGAUACGGGCAGACUUGAGGAAGGUAGGGGAGAACGGAAUUCCUGGUGGAGCGGUGGAAUGCGCAGAUAUCAGGAGGAACACCGGUGGCGAAGGCGGUUCUCUGGACCUUUCCUGACGCUGAGGAGCGAAAGCGUGGGGAGCAAACAGGCUU